rnacentral:rRNA from 1 species
UACGGGGGGGGCAAGCGUUGUUCGGAAUUACUGGGCGUAAAGGGCUCGUAGGCGGCCAACUAAGUCAGACGUGAAAUCCCCAGGCUCAACCUGGGAACUGCGUCUGAUACUGGAUGGCUUGAAUCCGGGAGAGGGAUGCAGAAUUCCAGGUGUAGCGGUGAAAUGCGUAGAUAUCUGGAGGAACACCAAUGGCGAAGGCAGCUCGCUGGGACGGUACUGACGCUGAGACGCGAAAGCGUGGGGAGCAAACAGG